UACGGGGGGGGCAAGCGUUGUUCGGAAUUACUGGGCGUAAAGGGCGCGUAGGCGGCCUGCUAAGUCACACGUGAAAUCCCUCGGCUCAACCGGGGAACUGCGUGUGAUACUGGCGGGCUUGAAUCCGGGAGAGGGAUGUGGAAUUCCAGGUGUAGCGGUGAAAUGCGUAGAUAUCUGGAGGAACACCGGUGGCGAAGGCGGCAUCCUGGACCGGUAUUGACGCUGAGGCGCGAAAGCUAGGGGAGCAAACGGG
rnacentral:rRNA from 1 species